GACGAACGCUGGCGGCGUGCUUAACACAUGCAAGUCGAACGGAAAGGCCCUGCUUUUGUGGGGUGCUCGAGUGGCGAACGGGUGAGUAACACGUGAGUAACCUGCCCUUGACUUUGGGAUAACUUCAGGAAACUGGGGCUAAUACCGGAUAGGAGCUCCUGCUGCAUGGUGGGGGUUGGAAAGUUUCGGCGGUUGGGGAUGGACUCGCGGCUUAUCAGCUUGUUGGUGGGGUAGUGGCUUACCAAGGGUUUGACGGGUAGCCGGCCUGAGAGGGGGACCGGCCACAUUGGGACUGAGAUACGGCCCAGACUCCUACGGGAGGCAGCGGUGGGGAAUAUUGCACAAUGGGCGGAAGCCUGAUGCAGCAACGCCGCGUGCGGGAUGACGGCCUUCGGGUUGUAAACCGCUUUCGCCUGUGACGAAGCGUGAGUGACGGUAAUGGGUAAAGAAGCACCGGCUAACUACGUG
rnacentral:rRNA from 1 species